AUAUCCUACGGGGGGCAGCAGUGGGGAAUAUUGCACAAUGGGGGAAACCCUGAUGCAGCGACGCCGCGUGAGGGAAGAAGUAUUUCGGUAUGUAAAGCUCUAUCAGCAGGGAAGAAGAAAGACGGUACCUGACUGAGAAGCCCCGGCUAACUACGUGCCAGCAGCCGCGGUAAUACGUAGGGGGCAAGCGUUAUCCGGAUUUACUGGGUGUAAAGGGAGCGUAGACGGCUGUGCAAGUCUGAAGUGAAAGCCAAGGGCUCAACCCGCGGACUGCUUUGGAAACUGUGGAGCUAGAGUGCUGGAGG
rnacentral:rRNA from 1 species